rnacentral:rRNA from 1 species
UACGUAGGGUGCAAGCGUUAAUCGGAAUUACUGGGCGUAAAGCGUGCGCAGGCGGUUGUGCAAGACAGAUGUGAAAUCCCCGGGCUCAACCUGGGAAUUGCAUUUGUGACUGCACGGCUAGAGUGUGUCAGAGGGGGGUAGAAUUCCACGUGUGAGCAGUGAAAUGCGUAGAGAUGUGGAGGAAUACCGAUGGCGAAGGCAGCCCCCUGGGAUAACACUGACGCCUCAUGCACGAAAGCGUGGGGAGCAACAGG